UCUUCCUUUAUUUCUUUCCUUUUUUUUCUUAUUUCCUUUGAUCUUUUGUUUCUUUCUCUUUUUUUUUAGCCUCUUUUCCUCUACUUUAUCCAUAUGAAUGAGUUUCAGAAUUCCAACUCUAUUUUGAUCUCAUUUUCUUAUAACAAUAGAAUAGAAUGACUGAAACAUCCUCCAUUUCAUUGAGACUUAAAAUCUUGUAUAUACCACUGACAUCAUCACC
rnacentral:lncRNA from 1 species